rnacentral:rRNA from 1 species
CUGAACCAGCCAAGUAGCGUGAAGGAUGACUGCCCUAUGGGUUGUAAACUUCUUUUAUAAAGGAAUAAAGUCGGGUAUGCAUACCCGUUUGCAUGUACUUUAUGAAUAAGGAUCGGCUAACUCCGUGCCAGCAGCCGCGGUAAUACGGAGGAUUCGAGCGUUAUCCGGAUUUAUUGGGUUUAAAGGGAGCGUAGAUGGAUGUUUAAGUCAGUUGUGAAAGUUUGCGG